rnacentral:rRNA from 1 species
CCUACGGGAGGCAGCAGUGAGGAAUUUUCCGCAAUGGGCGAAAGCCUGACGGAGCAAUACCGCGUGAGGGAUGAAGGAUUUUGGUCUGUAAACCUCUUUUCUCAAGAAAGAAGUUCUGACGGUACUUGAGGAAUAAGCAUCGGCUAACUCCGUGCCAGCAGCCGCGGUAAUACGGGGGAUGCAAGCGUUAUCCGGAAUGAUUGGGCGUAAAGCGCCUGUAGGUUGUUUAUUAAGUCCGUUGUUAAAGCCUAGGGCUUAACCCUAGAAAAGCAAUGGAAACUAGUAGACUAGAGUAUGGCAGGGGUAGAGGGAAUUUCUAGUGUAGCGGUGAAAUGCGUAGAUAUUAGAAAGAACACCGGUGGCGAAAGCGCUCUACUGGACCAUUACUGACACUCAGAGGCGAAAGCUAGGGUAGCAAAAGGGAUUAGAUACCCCUGUAGUCCUAGCCGUAAACGAUGGAUACUAGAUGUUGUGCAUUAUGUACAGUAUCGUAGCUAACGCGUUAAGUAUCCCGCCUGGGGAGUACGCUCGCAAGGGUGAAACUCAAAGGAAUUGACGGCUGAGACNGCGACGACGACACGAGGGAGAGG